CACCAAGGGACAGAUGAGUGGGAAAGAAGAGGAAAACAUUCUAGAAGACAGCACAGCCUGUGCAAAGGCAUGGGGGCACCUCUUUCCUUCAUGUUACCCUUAGACAUGCAGAGCUACAACAUACAAGAUCUGACCCUGGCCUGGAGGAGGUGGAGGCAAUAUCCGGAGAGAGAGAGAGAGAGAUUCCUAUAGAAUACAAGACAAGACUAUCACAAUGGUUGCAAUACGAAGUGGAGUUAAAGCAACUAGAAGGAGGUGUCAGUAACCAAGCUAAGAGAGGCUGGAAGGAAAACAAUUCAUGCAGCAGAAAAGAAAGCCUUUUGAGCAUUGUGAUGUCAGAAGGUGACUUGGAAGAUGAUCUAAAUGUUAAACUGGCAGUGAAGAGUGCCACAUCAUUGUUAUUCCCCCAAGAUCCUGGAUUCCAGACAGCCCAGUGGAGCACCAUAGAAAGAACUUUCAGGAAGCAGAGAAUGGUUCAGGGAUUCUGAUUUUCCUGAACUUCCUCCUCCCUAUCCACCUCCAAUUAGGAAAAAAGAAGAAAAAAAUGAUUAAACGCGUCCAGAAUGUUAAAAA